rnacentral:rRNA from 1 species
UACGUAGGGGGCAAGCGUUGUCCGGAUUUAUUGGGCGUAAAGAGCUCGUAGGCGGCCUGUUGCGUCCGCUGUGAAAGCCCGGGGCUUAACCCCGGGUCGGCAGUGGAUACGGGCAGGCUAGAGGUAGGUAGGGGAGAAUGGAAUUCCCGGUGUAGCGGUGAAAUGCGCAGAUAUCGGGAGGAACACCGGUGGCGAAGGCGGGUCUCUGGACAGUUCCUGACGCUGAAGCACGAAGGCCAGGGGAGCAAACGGG